rnacentral:tRNA from 1 species
UGCCUGUGGCUCAAAAAGGUGGGGCGCUGGCCCCAUAUGCCAGAGGCGGCAGGUUCAAAUCCAGCCCAGGCA